UUGCUUUCACAGCACACGUACUAAAAUUGGAACGACACAGAGAAGAUUAGUAUGGCCCCUGAGCGAGGAUGACACGCAAAUUCGUGAAACGUUCCAUAUUUUU
rnacentral:snRNA from 1 species